UUCACAAAACAGAAACCAAAGGCGAUCGAACUCAGUUUUCAAGAUGUAUUAAAAAAUCAAAUCAUGACUCAUGAAUCAUGAUCUAUAGUAGAAUCUAUUAUUCUCCUCCUUCUUAUUCUCAUAGAAUCUAAUCAUAUCUCAGUUAUAACCGGUCAGUGUUAGCUAGGGUAAACUAGAAGGUAUCAUUUUCAGACGAAAUAAACAAGUGAAUAUCUAAUUGCUUUUAAAAGGAUUCAGUUGAUUUCUUUGAUUCAGGACUCUGAUUUUUUGAUUCAACAACAUCCAUUCCAAAAUUCGUUGAAUCCUACAAACUGCAGCUUUGAUAUUUGGUUUGGAAAAAAAUCAGAAUUGGAGGCUUCCGUUAACUCAAAUGCAAUGUUUCCGUUUGCACCAGCUGCCAAUGUUUCUGAAGCUGGAACGGCCACUGCACCAACUCCUAAGAAGCGUAAACAAACUUCAUGGGUAUGGGAACACCUUGAAAAAUACCUCAACCUUCAAUAUUGACAACGUGUAAGAUGUGUAAACUGAGACUUAAAGAUGGCAUGAAGAAGAAUGUGACUAGAUCCUUGAUUAACCAUUUGAAGAAAUGUAAACUUGAGAGGAGAUUCAAGAUACCAUCUCGUGUCACUAUACGACCAGAUGUUAUAGAAUUGUUUGCAUAUGGGAAGGAGAGAUUGAAAAACAAAUCUGGAGGUGCAAAUGCAGAAAUUGAGUCUGGAGUUUAAUUUGGAUUUUGA